UACGAAGGGGGCUAGCGUUGUUCGGAAUUACUGGGCGUAAAGCGCGCGUAGGCGGUUUUGCAAGCCAGAGGUGAAAAUGCCUGAGCUCAACUUAGGAAUUGCCCUUUGGGGACUGCGAGGCUUUGAGGACGGGAGAGGUGAGUGGAAUUCCCAGUGUAGAGGUGAAAUUCGUAGAUAUUGGGAAGAACACCGGUGGCGAAGGCGGCUCACUGGCCCGUUUCUGACGCUGCAGCGCGAAAGC
rnacentral:rRNA from 1 species